GACGAACGCUGGCGGCGUGCCCAAUACAUGCAAGUCGAACGCAGUGGGGACGGGUGAGUAACACGUGGGUAACCUCCCAUCAGAGGGGAUAACACUUGGAAACAGGUGCUAAACCGAUACUGAUGGAUGGACCCGCGGUGCAUGAGCUAGUUGGUGCGGUAACGGCUCACCAAGGCCACGAUGCAUAGAGGACCUGAGAGGGGGAUCGGCCACACUGUGGCUUAGAUACGGCCCAGACUCAGACGGGAGGCAGCAGUAGGGAAUCUUCGGCAAUGGACUAAAGUCUGACCGAGCAACGCCGCGUGAGUGAAGAAGGUUUUCGGAUCGUAAAACUCUGUUGUUAGAGAAGCGGUAUCUAACCAGAAAGCCACGGCUAACUCCGUGCCAGCCGCCGCGGUAAUUC
rnacentral:rRNA from 1 species